rnacentral:rRNA from 1 species
GCUCAGGAUGAACGCUGGCGGCGUGCUUAACACAUGCAAGUCGAACGAUGAUGCCAGCUUGCUGGCGGAUUAGUGGCGAACGGGUGAGUAACACGUGAGUAACCUGCCCUUAACUCUGGGAUAAGCCUGGGAAACUGGGUCUAAUACCGGAUAUGACUCCUCAUCGCAUGGUGGGGGGUGGAAAGCUUUAUUGUGGUUUUGGAUGGACUCGCGGCCUAUCAGCUUGUUGGUGAGGUAAUGGCUCACCAAGGCGACGACGGGUAGCCGGCCUGAGAGGGUGACCGGCCACACUGGGACUGAGACACGGCCCAGACUCCUACGGGAGGCAGCAGUGGGGAAUAUUGCACAAUGGGCGAAAGCCUGAUGCAGCGACGCCGCGUGAGGGAUGACGGCCUUCGGGUUGUAAACCUCUUUCAGUAGGGAAGAAGCGAAAGUGACGGUACCUGCAGAAGAAGCGCCGGCUAACUACGUGCCAGCAGCCGCGGUAAUACGUAGGGCGCAAGCGUUAUCCGGAAUUAUUGGGCGUAAAGAGCUCGUAGGCGGUUUGUCGCGUCUGCCGUGAAAGUCCGGGGCUCAACUCCGGAUCUGCGGUGGGUACGGGCAGACUAGAGUGAUGUAGGGGAGACUGGAAUUCCUGGUGUAGCGGUGAAAUGCGCAGAUAUCAGGAGGAACACCGAUGGCGAAGGCAGGUCUCUGGGCAUUAACUGACGCUGAGGAGCGAAAGCAUGGGGAGCGAACAGGAUUA